AUUGAACGCUGGCGGCAGGCCUAACACAUGCAAGUCGAACGAGUGGCGGACGGGUGAGUAAUGUCUGGGAAACUGCCUGAUGGAGGGGGAUAACUACUGGAAACGGUAGCUAAUACCGCAUACCAUCAGAUGUGCCCAGAUGGGAUUAGCUUGUGGGGGGGGUAAAGGCUCACCAAGGCGACGAUCCCUAGCUGGUCUGAGAGGAUGACCAGCCAAACUGGAACGUAGACACGGUCCGGACUCCUACGGGAGGCAGAAGUGGUGAAGAUUGCACAAUGGGCGCAAGCCGGAUGCAGCCAUGCCGCGUGUAUGAAGAAGGCCUUCGGGUUGUAAAGUACUUUCAGCGGGGAGGCGUUACCCGCAGAAGAAGCACCGGCUAACUCCGUGCCAGCCGCCGCGGUAAUAC
rnacentral:rRNA from 1 species